UAAUUGCAGAGACGACAUGACUUG
rnacentral:piRNA from 1 species